rnacentral:misc_RNA from 1 species
UGGUUCUGGCAUNGAUGAAGAACGCAGCGAAAUGCGAUAAGUAAUGUGAAUUGCAGAAUUCAGUGAAUCAUCGAAUCUUUGAACGCACAUUGCGCCCCUCGGCAUUCCGAGGGGCAUGCCUGUUCGAGCGUCAUUUCAACCCUCAAGCCCCGCUUGGUGUUGGGUGCGGCCCCCCCGGGGCCCUCCCGCAACCCGUCGGCGGUGGGUGCCGUCCUCAAGCGCAACAGAAACUUUCGCUUCGGGGCCGGCGUCCGCCCGCCGCACAACGCACAUCCAAAGUUUGACCUCGGAUCAGGCAGGGAUACCCGCUGA